rnacentral:lncRNA from 1 species
GAGCUGUUAAAAAUGCAUUCCUCCCAUGUAGCCCUCAAAAGACUACAGAGCUGUGUGCAGAGCUAGACAAUCUGGGCAUCCAGCCAUGAAACGUCCCUGCUGCAGUACAGACAGUGGUGUGGUGCACACUCUCCUGAGCCCUCCACCUGCAAACCACAACAGGAGGAGCCGCCUGGGGAAAGCAGUCUUGGCUGCUGUUUUGAACUCUUAAUAUUAUGUGUAGACCCCGAUUUCCUAAGAUAUAGUCAAUAUUAAGGGUGGACAAGAACAUGGCUUCUGAAAUGUACACCUCUUACAGGCCAGUGGAUUUAAAUAUUCACCCUUAGAAAUAAGAACUAUCAAAUUGCCUGCCUCACCAUCUGUCUCUCUUUUAUUUGCCUGUUUGUUGUAACACAUCCUUCCUACCUGCCCAAACACACAAAUGAUCGCUGUGGCACAUGCAUAUAGCCACGUGGCCCAAGGAGUCAUCUGGAAUCUGGCUUCCAGGAAGCCACAGGAUUAGUCUAACAGGUCUCAGAUCUCAGUUGGAAAGCAGUUUCCUUCACUUGACCCAUUUUUCUUCUGCACUGAAUCUUUUUACUGGUCCUUCAAUGCAAACAGUUUGCAGGAAUGGAGAGUUACAAGCCUUAAAAGACUUACUAGAAUGCUGGGUCUCUAGAGAGAGAAAUGGAGCUGAGAGGAGGACACAGAGCAAGAAUAAGUCAGACCUCACUCUCUCAUCCACCCCACCUCCAACAGCGAAGGUUAAUGAACAGCAUUUUACACCAGCAGAAAACUUCAUGGGAAGAGAAAUGACCCUCAACUAUAACAUUUCCAAGUGUGUCAAGGGAUCUUUUAAAGAAAAUAUUCUAAAUCCAGAUUAUGAUUAUUAUGGCUAUAUAACUAUACAUUAACUAUAAUUUUGUUCCCCCCAUACCAGGGUUUGAACUCAUGACCUUGUGCUUGCGAGGCAGGCACAGUGCCACUGAGCUAAAUCCCCAGCCCUACUAUAAACUUUUUAAAAGAGAAAAAGCCUUAAAGCUAGGUGCAUGUUAAAAUGGAUAUAUGUUUUAACUAUUUUUUCUUAAAAAUGUAAGAGGGGUGUGUGUGGGUGUGGGUGUGGUGUGUGUGUGCCUGAUUUUAUUUCGUGUUUGUAUUACCUUGCUGUUAAAUGUUUUGUAUAGUCAAGGUGAUGAUGGUUAACAGUACCAGUAUUAACAAGUAUUAUAUCUUGCUUAUCUCCUGUGUUUCCAAGA